rnacentral:lncRNA from 1 species
UUGUUUAUAUAUAUGGGAUCAUUCAGAGAGUAAAAAAAUUGUCGGAACAAAAAUUUAAUGCAUGUAUUAGCUGUGAACUUCAUUUAAAGUCAUAGCAUUGAUGACAGUGAACAAUAUUGCGAAAAUAUUGCUUAAAAGGUAUGGUUCACACUAUGUUUAAAUACAUGUAUCAGGUGUGACUUUGACCUCAUAUUUAUGGAAUUAUGCUAUGAUCAUUGUCAUCAGCAUGAA